rnacentral:rRNA from 1 species
UACGUAGGUGGCAAGCGUUGUCCGGAAUCAUUGGGCGUAAAGCGCGCGCAGGCGGUCCUUUAAGUCUGAUGUGAAAUCUUGCGGCUCAACCGCAAGCGGUCAUUGGAAACUGGGGGACUUGAGUGCAGGAGAGGAAAGCGGAAUUCCAUGUGUAGCGGUGAAAUGCGUAGAGAUAUGGAGGAACACCAGUGGCGAAGGCGGCUUUCUGGCCUGUAACUGACGCUGAGGCGCGAAAGCGUGGGGAGCAAACAGGAUUAGAUACCCUGGUAGUCCACGCCGUAAACGAUGAGUGCUAAGUGUUGGAGGGUUUCCGCCCUUCAGUGCUGCAGCUAACGCAUUAAGCACUCCGCCUGGGGAGUACGGUCGCAAGACUGAA